AGAGCGAAGGGGACUGCCGGUUCCAGGCCGGGCAUAACGCCCCGGCUGGAUUAAAACGGGAACACGGUGCGGCCCCUUGCGGGCCCAAUCCGUGACUGCCCCCGCAACUGUGAGUGGUGAGCCCCUCUCCAUUCGGCCACUAGGACCAGCGCUCGCGCGCGUCGUCCCGGGAAGGCGGAGAUCAGGGUCAGGACCCACGAGUCAGGAGACCUGCCGGCUGGUCGUCACCUAA
rnacentral:ncRNA from 2 species